rnacentral:rRNA from 1 species
CCUACGGGGUGCAGCAGUGAGGAAUAUUGGUCAAUGGACGAGAGUCUGAACCAGCCAAGUAGCGUGAAGGAUGACUGCCCUAUGGGUUGUAAACUUCUUUUAUAUGGGAAUAAAAUGUUCCACGUGUGGGAUUUUGUAUGUACCAUAUGAAUAAGGAUCGGCUAACUCCGUGCCAGCAGCCGCGGUAAUACGGAGGAUCCGAGCGUUAUCCGGAUUUAUUGGGUUUAAAGGGAGCGUAGGUGGAUUGUUAAGUCAGUUGUGAAAGUUUGCGGCUCAACCGUAAAAUUGCAGUUGAAACUGGCAGUCUUGAGUACAGUAGAGGUGGGCUGAAUUCGUGGUGUAGCGGUGAAAUGCUUAGAUAUCACGAAGAACUCCGAUUGCGAAGGCAGUUCACUGGACUGCAACUGACACUGAGGCUCGAAAGUGUGGGUAUCAAACAGGAUUAGAUACCCUUGUAGUC